rnacentral:rRNA from 1 species
AGAGCGAACGCUGGCGGCAGGCUUAACACAUGCAAGUCGAGCGGGCGUAGCAAUACGUCAGCGGCAGACGGGUGAGUAACGCGUGGGAACGUACCUUUUGGUUCGGAACAACACAGGGAAACUUGUGCUAAUACCGGAUAAGCCCUUACGGGGAAAGAUUUAUCGCCAAAAGAUCGGCCCGCGUCUGAUUAGCUAGUUGGUGAGGUAACGGCUCACCAAGGCGACGAUCAGUAGCUGGUCUGAGAGGAUGAUCAGCCACAUUGGGACUGAGACACGGCCCAAACUCCUACGGGAGGCAGCAGUGGGGAAUAUUGGACAAUGGGCGCAAGCCUGAUCCAGCCAUGCCGCGUGAGUGAUGAAGGCCCUAGGGUUGUAAAGCUCUUUUGUGCGGGAAGAUAAUGACGGUACCGCAAAGAAUAAGCCCCGGCUAACGUUCGUGCCAGCAGCCGC